rnacentral:rRNA from 1 species
AUUGAACGCUGGCGGCAGGCUUAACACAUGCAAGUCGAGCGAGUGGCGGACGGGUGAGUAAUGUAUGGGAAACUGCCCGGUGGAGGGGGAUAACUACUGGAAACGGUAGCUAAUACCGCAUACUAUUAGAUGUGCCCAUAUCGGAUUAGCUAGUGGGUGGGGUAAAGGCUCACCUAGGCGACGAUCCCUAGCUGGUCUGAGAGGAUGACCAGCCACACUGGAACUGAGACACGGUCCAGACUCCUACGGGAGGCAGCAGUGGGGAAUUUUGCACAAUGGGGGCAAGCCUGAUGCAGCCAUGCCGCGUGUAUGAUGAAGGCCUUCGGGUUGUAAAGCACUUUCAGCGGGGAGGCGGUACUCGCAGAAGAAGCACCGGCUAACUACGUGCCAGCAGCCGCGGUAAUAC